GAUGAAGAACGUAGCGAAAUGCGAUACUUGGUGUGAAUUGCAGAAUCCCGUGAAUCAUCGAGUCUUUGAACGCAAGUUGCGCCCGAAGCCAUCAGGUUGAGGGCACGUCUGCCUGGGCGUCACAUAUCGUUGCCCAAUGCCUAUUGCAGUGCAAUAGGAAUUUCUAGGGCGAAUGAUGGCUUCCCGUGAGCGUUGUUGCCUCGCGGUUGGUUGAAAAUCGAGUCCUUGGUAGGGUGUGCCAUGGUAGAUGGUGGUCGAGUUAGAACGAUACCGAUCAUGUGCAUGCUCCCCAAAAUAUGGCCUCUAUGACCCACACGCGUCUUUUGACGCUCAUGACGAGACCUCAGGUCAGGCGGGGCUACCCGCUGAAUUUAAGCAUAUCAAUAAGCGGAGGA
rnacentral:misc_RNA from 1 species